rnacentral:rRNA from 1 species
AUUGAACGCUGGCGGCAGGCCUAACACAUGCAAGUCGAGCGAGCGGCGGACGGGUGAGUAAUGUCUGUGAAACUGCCUGAUGGAGGGGGAUAACUACUGGAAACGGUAGCUAAUACCUCAUACCAUCAUAUGUGCCCCGUUUGGAUUAGCUAGUAGGUGGGGUAACGGCUCACCUCGUCGACGAUCCCUAGCUUGUCUGAGAGGAUGACCAGCAACACGUGAACGGAGACACGGUCCAGACUCCUACGGGAGGCAGCAGUGGGGAAUAUUGCACAAUGGGCGCAAGCCUAAUGCAGCCAUGCCGCGUAUGUGAAGAAGGCCUUCGGGUUGUAAAGAACUUUAAGCGGGGAGGCGUUACCCGCAGAAGAAGCACCGGCUAACUCCGUGCCAGCAGCCGCGGUAAUUC